CUGGCGCAGGACGGGAGCAGCCUGGAGGCGCUGCUCAGGACGGAUCCCCUGGACAAGCGCUCCCUGCCCGACGCGCGCGGGGACGACGAGAGCCUGGGCGAGUUCCCGGUCACCAACAGCCGCGCCCGCAAGGUGGCGCCGGGAGCCCGCGGGAAUUCGGGAUAACAGGAAUUCCGGCGGGAAUUCGGGGAUUCCAGUGGGAAUUUGGGAAUGACAACGGGAAUUCAGGAUAUUGGGAAUUCCAACGGGAAUUUGGGGUGUUGGGAAUUCCAGUGGGAAUUUGGGAAUGACAACGGGAAUUUGGGAUAUUGGGAAUUCCAGAUGGGAAUUCGGGAUAUUGGGAAUUCCAGUGGGAACUCAGGAUCCUGGGAAUUCCAGCCAGGAAUUCCAGCUGGGAACUCGGGACACUGGGAGUUCCAAUGGGAAUUGGGAAUUUGGGAUACCGAGGGCUCCAGGAAUUGGGGAUACUGGGAAUUCCAGCUGUGGCCCCUUCUACAUCCCCUCCUGUUUUUCCAUUUUUCAUUUUCCCCAUUUUUUCCCCAUUUUUCCAUUUUUUCCCAAUUUUUCCCAUUUUUUCCCCAUUUUUCCCAUUUUUUCCCCAUUUUUGCCAUUUUUUUUCCCAUUUUUGCCAUUUUUUUCCCCAUUUUCCCCCAUUUCCCCGCUCUAACCCCCGUGCUCGCUCCCAGCGGAUCCUGGAGCCCGAGGAUUUCCUGGACGAUCUGGACGAUGAGGAUUACGAGGAGGACACGCCCAAGCGGAGAGGGAAGGGCAAGGCCAAGGGCAAAGGCGUCGGGGGUGCCCGGAAGAAGCUGGAGGCCGCGAUCCUGGAGGACCGGGACAAACCCUACGCCUGCGACAUCUGCGGGAAGCGCUACAAGAACCGGCCCGGGCUCAGCUACCACUACGCGCACUCGCACCUGGCCGAGGAGGAGGGCGACGACAAGGACGACUCGCAGCCGCCCACGCCCGUGGCGCCGCGCCCCGAGGAGCAGAAAUCCAAGAAGGGCCCGGACGGGCUGGCCCUUCCCAACAAUUACUGCGAUUUCUGCCUGGGCGACUCCAAGAUCAACAAGAAGACGGGACAGCCCGAGGAGCUCGUGUCGUGCUCCGACUGCGGCCGCUCCGGUCAGGCCCGGGCCGGGGGGCACCUCUGGGGUCUGGGGUCCCAGGGUUCCUUCUAAAAUGGGGCUGGGGGCACAUUUGGGGGCUGGGGUCCCAGGGUUCCCUCUAAAAUGGGGCUGGGGGAGUUUGGGGUCAGAGAUCCGAGGGUUUCC
rnacentral:lncRNA from 1 species